rnacentral:rRNA from 1 species
AUUGAACGCUGGCGGCAGGCUUAACACAUGCAUGUCGAGCGAGCGGCGGACGGGUGCGUAAUGUCCGGGAAACUGCCUGAUGGAGGGGGAUAACUACUGGAAACGGUAGCUAAUACCGCAUACCAUCAGAUGUGCCCAGAUGGGAUUAGCUAGUAGGUGGGGUAAUGGCUCACCUAGGCGACGAUCCCUAGCUGGUCUGAGAGGAUGACCAGCAACAGGGGAGCUGAGACACGGACCAGGUGCCGACGGGAGGCGGCAGUGGGAAAUAUUGCACAAUGGGCGCAGGCCUAAGGCGGCGAUGCCGAGUGUGUGAAGAAGGCCUUCGGGUUGUAAGGAACGUUCAGCUAGGAGGCGUUACUCGCAGAAGAAGCACCGGCUAGCUCAGUGCCGGCAGCCGCGGGAAUAC